rnacentral:rRNA from 1 species
UACAGAGGUCUCAAGCGUUGUUCGGAUAUACUGGGCGUAAAGCGCACGUAGGCGGCGCAGCAAGUCAGGGGUGAAAUCCCGGAGCUCAACUCCGGAACUGCCUUUGAAACUGCAGUGCUAGAAUCCUGGAGAGGCGAGUGGAAUUCCGAGUGUAGAGGUGAAAUUCGUAGAUAUUCGGAAGAACACCAGUGGCGAAGGCGACUCGCUGGACAGGUAUUGACGCUGAGGUGCGAAAGCGUGGGGAGCAAACAGGG